rnacentral:rRNA from 1 species
CCUACGGGAGGCAGCAGUGAGGAAUAUUGGUCAAUGGCCGUAAGGCUGAACCAGCCAAGCCGCGUGAAGGAAGAAGGAUUUAUGGUUUUUAAACUUCUUUUAUAGGGGAAUAAAGUUAUCCAGGUGUGGAUAUUUGCAUGUACCCUAUGAAUAAGCAUCGGCUAACUCCGUGCCAUCAGCCGCGGUAAUACGGAGGAUGCGAGCGUUAUCCGGAUUUAUUGGGUUUAAAGGGUGCGUAGGUUGUUUUUUAAGUCAGGGGUGAAAGUUUGUGGCUCAACGAUAAAAUUGCCGUUGAUACUGGAAGACUUGAGUGUGUUUGAGGUAGGUGGAAUGCGUGGUGUAGCGGUGAAAUGCAUAGAUAUCACGCAGAACUCCGAUUGCGAAGGCAGCUUACUAAGCCAUAACUGACGCUGAAGCACGAAAGCGUGGGGAUCAAACAGGAUUAGAUACCCUAGUAGUC